rnacentral:misc_RNA from 1 species
CACAGACAGAACAUUGACACAUACAAUUUUCCCUUAAUAAUUAACAAUGUCUCUGAACAAGAUACUACUACAACAGGGCACUAGUCCCUGAGACUGAUUACGCUUUCAAAAAUUGGUUGUACAUAUCAACCUCCUGUCUCAAUGGAUCGUCAUAAGAUCAGUGUAGCAGUCAAGUCUCAACCCCAGAAAAUUAUAAAUCCAUGAGUGAUCCCUUCCGCACACAAUGAGUCAGUUUCAUAUUGUUUCAGUGCUACCUUUCCGAUUCAUCAGGUCAUGGUAAUACAACAGCACACACAUGGGUUG